rnacentral:rRNA from 1 species
GACGAACGCUGGCGGCGUGCCUAAUACAUGUAAGUUGAGCGCUGAAGGUUGGUACUUGUACCGACUGGAUGAGCAGCGAACGGGUGAGUAACGCGUGGGGAAUCUGCCUUUGAGCGGGGGACAACAUUUGGAAACGAAUGCUAAUACCGCAUAAAAACUUUAAACACAAGUUUUAAGUUUGAAAGAUGCAAUUGCAUCACUCAAAGAUGAUCCCGCGUUGUAUUAGCUAGUUGGUGAGGUAAAGGCUCACCAAGGCGAUGAUACAUAGCCGACCUGAGAGGGUGAUCGGCCACAGUGGGACUGAGACACGGCCCAAACUCCUACGGGAGGCAGCAGUAGGGAAUCUUCGGCAAUGGACGAAAGUCUGACCGAGCAACGCCGCGUGAGUGAAGAAGGUUUUCGGAUCGUAAAACUCUGUUGGUAGAGAAGAACGUUGGUGAGAGUGGAAAGCUCAUCAAGUGACGGUAACUACCCAGAAAGGGACGGCUAACUACGUGCCAGCCGCCGCAGUAA